GCCAGUGUGGCUCAGUGGCUGAGCACUGGCCCAUGAACCAGGAGGUCACUGGUUCGAUUCCAGUCAGGGCA
rfam:Myotis davidii contig149078, whole genome shotgun sequence.